GACGAACGCUGGCGGCGUGCCUAAUACAUGCAAGUUGAGCGCUGAAGGUUGGUACUUGUACCAACUGGAUGAGCAGCGAACGGGUGAGUAACGCGUGGGGAAUCUGCCUUUGAGCGGGGGACAACAUUUGGAAACGAAUGCUAAUACCGCAUAAAAACUUUAAACACAAGUUUUAAGUUUGAAAGAUGCAAUUGCAUCACUCAAAGAUGAUCCCGCGUUGUAUUAGCUAGUUGGUGAGGUAAAGGCUCACCAAGGCGAUGAUACAUAGCCGACCUGAGAGGGUGAUCGGCCACAUUGGGACUGAGGCACGGCCCAAACUCCUACGGGAGGCAGCAGUAGGGAAUCUUCGGCAAUGGACGAAAGUCUGACCGAGCAACGCCGCGUGAGUGAAGAAGGUUUUCGGAUCGUAAAACUCUGUUGGUAGAGAAGAACGUUGGUGAGAGUGGAAAGCUCAUCAAGUGACGGUAACUACCCAGAAAGGGACGGCUAACUACGU
rnacentral:rRNA from 1 species